CUUGAUUAGUGGCGCACGGGUGAGUAAUGCAUAGAUAAUGUGCCCCUUAGUUCGGGAUAGCCACUGGAAACGGUGAUUAAUACCGGAUACUCCUUCUUGUUAUAAGACAAGUCGGGAAAGUCUUUCGCUAAGGGAUCAGUCUAUGUUCCAUCAGCUUGUUGGUGAGGUAAUGGCUCACCAAGGCUAUGACGGAUAUCUGGUUUGAGAGGAUGAUCAGACACACUGGAACUGAGACACGGUCCAGACUCCUACGGGAGGCAGCAGUGAGGAAUAUUGCACAAUGGAGGAAACUCUGAUGCAGCAACGCCGCGUGGAGGAUGACGCAUUUCGGUGUGUAAACUCCUUUUAUUAGGGAAGAUAAUGACGGUACCUAAUGAAUAAGCACCGGCUAACUCCGUGCCAGCAGCCGCGGUAAUACGGAGGGUGCAAGCGUUACUCGGAAUCACUGGGCGUAAGGGGUGCGUAGGCUGGCUUUUAAGUCAGAUGUGAAAUCCAAUGGCUCAACCAUUGAACUGCAUUUGAAACUGAAAGCCUAGAGUUCAGAAGGGGCAGAUGGAAUUAGUGGUGUAGGGGUAAAAUCCGUAGAUAUCACUAGGAAUAUCAAAAGCGAAGGCGAUCUGCUGGGAUGAUACUGACG
rnacentral:rRNA from 1 species